rnacentral:tRNA from 1 species
GGAUUGUGGAUCAGUGGUAAAGCACUUGCCUUGAAUGUGUGAGGCACUGGGUUCAAUUCUCAGCACCA